UGCAAAAUCAGGGUCUUAUGUCUUUUUAUACCUCAAUCAAUAAUCUUAUCUGUUCAGGCUAGCGAGACUUCUUUUCAAUCAGAUCAUUUUAUAAGCAUCUAUUCAUAUCUCCUAACACUCAUGUUUACAAGCUAGUUGAUGCACACUGUAUCUAUAGCCAAACAAAAAAUCUGGGUUUGCACUCUUCAAACAUACCUUAUCCACAAAUGCAUUUUCUGGUAAUUAUCGGUCGGCUUCUUUUUAAAAAGUAAAGCUCAGAAUCCUACAUCUGCGGAUAUCAUAUUUUUGAGCAGGCAAAUUCAUCAUCGUGUUAUAUUUUUGGUUUAUUCAACUUUAUCCUCUAGUUACUGAUAAAAAUUAGCAAUUUAGCUAUAUCUUGUCAAAGCUACAUACCAAAUCGUACCUUGAUUUUAAUUUACUAAAAUCGGUUUUGAAAUUGAUGUAAAAAUCAUAUGAAACUUUGAAAUGCACGAAAUCUUCAAAAACAAUUAGUGUUAUUCUUACGUCUUACAAUAGCCAAAGGACAAAGGAGUCAAACAUUGUUAAUAAAAUAAAAUAAAAUAUAUUCCAAUCAACUAG